AUUGAACGCUGGCGGCAGGCAUAACACAUGCAAGUCGAGCGGAGCGGCGGACGGGUGAGUAAUGACUAGGAAUCUGCCUGGUAGUGGGGGAUAACGUCCGGCAACGGGCGCUAAUACAGCAUACUAUCAGAUGAGCCUUGGUCGGAGUAGCUAGUUGGUGGGGUAAAGGCCUACCAAGGCGACGAUCCGUAACUGGUAUGAGAGGAUGAACAGUCACACUGGAACUGAGACACGGUCCCGACUCCGACGGGAGGCAGCAGUGGGGAAUUUUGCACAAUGGGCGCAAGCCUGAUGCAGCCAUGCCGCGGGUGUGAAGAAGGACUUCGGGUUGUAAAGCACUUUCAGCGGGGAGGCGUUACCCGCAGAAGAAGCACCGGCUAACUCCGUGCCAGCCGCCGCGGUAAUUC
rnacentral:rRNA from 1 species